rnacentral:rRNA from 1 species
AGGACGAACGCUGGCGGCGUGCUUAACACAUGCAAGUCGAGCGGAAAGGCCCUUCGGGGUACUCGAGCGGCGAACGGGUGAGUAACACGUGAGCAACCUGCCCUUAGCUCCGGGAUAGCUCCGGGAAACCGGAAUUAAUACCGGAUACGACCACGGCCGACAUCUGCUGUGGUGGAAAGGAUUCCGGCUAAGGAUGGGCUCGCGGCCUAUCAGCUAGUUGGUGGAGUAACGGCCCACCAAGGCGACGACGGGUAG